rnacentral:misc_RNA from 1 species
UACCUCUCAACCCCGCACUUCUCUGGAGGUGUUGUUUAGGGUUCGGACCAUGAUGCGUGUGGUUAAGUCCACUGCAUUGAAAUAUAACAAGCUGGAUCCUUUUCUUGCGGCUUGACCCGUUGUUGUAACUUGAAAAUCAAUGGGAACGCAAAUCAAGGAAUGGGCUUACCAUAAACUUAUAUACAAGUGCA